AAAAUGGAAUUCUUCUAUUGUUU
rnacentral:snRNA from 1 species